rnacentral:rRNA from 1 species
UACCAGCACCCCGAGUGGUCGGGGCGUUUAUUGGGCCUAAAGCGUCCGUAGCCGGUUCUACAAGUCUUCCGUUAAAUCCACCUGCUUAACAGAUGGGCUGCGGACGAUACUAUAGAGCUAGGAGGCGGGAGAGGCAAGCGGUACUCGAUGGGUAGGGGUAAAAUCCGUUGAUCCAUUGAAGACCACCAGUGGCGAAGGCGGCUUGCCAGAACGCGCUCGACGGUGAGGGAUGAAAGCUGGGGGAGCAAACCGG